rnacentral:rRNA from 1 species
UGGGGAAUAUUGCACAAUGGGCGAAAGCCUGAUGCAGCAACGCCGCGUGAGUGAUGACGGCCUUCGGGUUGUAAAGCUCUGUCUUUGGGGACGAUAAUGACGGUACCCAAGGAGGAAGCCACGGCUAACUACGCGCCAGCAGCCGCGGUAAUACGUAGGUGGCAAGCGUUGUCCGGAUUUACUGGGCGUAAAGGGUGCGUAGGCGGACCUUUAAGUGAGAUGUGAAGUCCCCGAGCUUAACUUGGGGGCUGCAUUUCAAACUGGAGGUCUAGAGUGCAGGAGAGGAGAGUGGAAUUCCUAGUGUAGCGGUGAAAUGCGUAGAGAUUAGGAAGAACACCAGUGGCGAAGGCGACUCUCUGGACUGUAACUGACGCUGAGGCACGAAAGCGUGGGGAGCAAACAG